rnacentral:misc_RNA from 1 species
UUUCCGUAGGUGAACCUGCGGAAGGAUCAUUAAUAAAUGGUCUACGUUUUUUAAGUAGACGCUUAAUAAUCUACCCUUUGUGAAUUUGUUGUUUGAAAUAAUUUUUUUAAAAUUAUUGAAUGCUUCCCUGUUGAAUUGGUUGUCUUUAAUGGCAAGUGAUUCGCAGGGGAGUGUCAAUAAUUUUAAAAGACCUUUUUUAAAAUUAAACUUUUUGUAUUCAUUUGUCUAAAAUUAUUUUUAUAAUAUAAAAACAACUUUUGACAAUGGAUCUCUUGGUUCUCGCAACGAUGAAGAACGCAGCAAAAUGCGAUAAGUAGUGUGAAUUGCAGAAUACGUGAAUCAUCGAAUCUUCGAACGCAUAUUGCACUUUUUUAGUUUACUAAAAAAGUAUGUCUGUUUGAGUAUCAGUAAAAUAUUCUCAUAAAAAACAUUGUUUUUUAUGGUUAAGAGUGUUUUACAACGAUACAAGUUGUUUCACUUUAAAUUUUUUAAAUUUGAAUUUUUCUAAUUUUAAAAUAAAAUUGGAUAAAUUUUCCCGUAAAAAGGAAUAACCUAAACAAUUUUAAUUUUGAUUAGAAAAUCCAAACUAAAAGGAAAAUUUAACUAAAUAACUUGAUCUCAAAUCAGAUAAGAGUACCCGCUGAACUUAAGCAUAUCAAUAAGCGGAGGAAAAGAACUAACAAGGAUUCCUUAGUAACGGCGAGUGAAGCGGAAGAGCUCAAAUUUGAAAUCUUCAAGGUUUUACCUUGACGAAUUGUAGUUUAAAGAAGUGUUUUCUGUUGAAGUUUUGGUAAAAGUUCUUUGAAUAGGACAUCAUAGAGGGUGAGAAUCCGUAUUUGACCAUUAUUUUCAGCUGUGUGAUACACUUUCAAAGAGUCGGAUUGUUUGGGAAUGCAGUCCAAAAUGGUGGUAAAUUUCAUCUAAAGCUAAAUAUUGGCGAGAGACCGAUAGCGAACAAGUACCGUGAGGGAAAGAUGAAAAGAACUUUGAAAAGAGAGUUAAACAGUACGUGAAAUUGUCAAAAGGGAAGCGUUUGACACCAGUGUUGUUUUCUCGAAAAUCAAUUAAAAAAGUUGGAUUUUGUGUUGUAUUGACCUUAACAGCUUGCUUCACUCUUUCCUGCUUUUUUAAUGCACUUUUCGUUUAACAAGUCAACAUCAGUUCUUUUGUUGUAAAAGGGUCAUUGGAAGGUGGCUUUCUCUUCGGAGAAAGUGUUUAUAGCCUUUGAUCUCUGCAAUCGGAGAGACUGAGGUCUGCAGCGUAGAUCCUUCGGGUUAGAUACAUUUGUGCUAAGCUACAGCUUUUCAUAGACAACUUGUGCUAUGUUUAGUCUUGUGACUUACCGCUUAUGCUAUUUUACCUACGCUUAGGAUG